AUGCGGAGGGUGCAAGCGUUACUCGGAAUCACUGGGCGUAAAGCGCGCGCAGGCGGCCUGAUAAGUUGGAUGUGAAAGCCUACGGCUCAACCGUAGAACUGCAUCCAAAACUGUCAGGCUAGAGUGUGGGAGAGGAAGAUGGAAUUAGUUGUGUAGGGGUAAAAUCCGUAGAGAUAACUAGGAAUACCGAAAGCGAAGGCGAUCUUCUGGAACAGUACUGACGCUGAGGCGCGAAAGCGUGGGGAGCAAACAGGAUUAGAAACCCCGGUAGUCC
rnacentral:rRNA from 1 species